UUCGGGACAACUCUGGGAAACUGGAGCUAAUACCGGAUACGCCCUUUUGGGGAAAGGUUUACUGCCGAAGGAUCGGCCCGCGUCUGAUUAGCUAGUUGGUGGGGUAACGGCCUACCAAGGCGACGAUCAGUAGCUGGUCUGAGAGGAUGAUCAGCCACACUGGGACUGAGACACGGCCCAGACUCCUACGGGAGGCAGCAGUGGGGAAUAUUGGACAAUGGGCGCAAGCCUGAUCCAGCCAUGCCGCGUGAGUGAUGAAGGCCUUAGGGUUGUAAAGCUCUUUUAUCCGGGACGAUAAUGACGGUACCGGAGGAAUAAGCCCCGGCUAACUUCGUGCCAGCAGCCGCGGUAAUACGAAGGGGGCUAGCGUUGCUCGGAAUCACUGGGCGUAAAGGGCGCGUAGGCGGCGUUUUAAGUCGGGGGUGAAAGCCUGUGGCUCAACCACAGAAUGGCCUUCGAUACUGGGACGCUUGAGUCUGGUAGAGGUUGGUGGAACUGCGAGUGUAGAGGUGAAAUUCGUAGAUAUUCGCAAGAACACCGGUGGC
rnacentral:rRNA from 1 species